GACGAACGCUGGCGGCGUGCCUAACACAUGCAAGUCGAACGGAAAGGCCCUGCUUUUGUGGGGUGCUUGAGUGGCGAACGGGGGAGUAACACGCGAGUAAACUGCCCCUGACUGUGGGAUAACUCUAGGAAACAGGGGCGAAUACCGGAGAGGAGCUCCUGCUGCACGGGGGGGGAAGGAGAGAUUCGGCGGUUGGGGAUGGUCUCGAGGCUUAUCAGCUUGUUUGUGGGGUAGGGGCUGACCAAGGUUUCGACGGGUAGCCCGCCUGAGAGCGUGACCGGCCUCAUUGGGCCUGAGAUACGGCCCAGAAUCCUACGGGACGCAGCAGUGGGGAAUAUUGCACAAUGGGCGGAAGCCUGAUGCAGCAACGCCGCGUGCGUGAUGACGGCCUUCUGGUUGUAAACCGCUUUCGCCUGUGACGAAGCGUGAGUGACGGUAAUGGGUAAAGAAGCACCGGCUAACUACGUG
rnacentral:rRNA from 1 species